rnacentral:rRNA from 1 species
AGAUUUCCGAAUGGGACAACCUAGCCGUCUGAAGGACGGUUACUCUUACCAAUGUAAGAGAGCUAACGCAGGGAACUGAAACAUCUUAGUACCUGCAGGAAGAGAAAAUAAAUGAAUGAUUCCCCCAGUAGUGGCGAGCGAACGGGGAACAGCCCAAACCAGUGGCGUCGCAAGGCGUGGCUGGGGUUGUAGGACCGCGACAUUGUAUGCAAAUCGUGAACAGAACACUUUGGAAAAUGUGACCAUAGACGGUGAUAGUCCAGUAUGUGAAGCGAAAUGCGGCAUAGCGGUAUCCUGAGUAACGCGGGACACGAGGAAUCCUGCGCGAAUCUGCCGGGACCAUCCGGUAAGGCUAAAUACUCCCGUGAGACCGAUAGCGAACGAGUACUGUGAAGGAAAGGUGAAAAGAACCCCGAGCAGGGGAGUGAAAUAGUUCCUGAAACCAUACGCCUACAAGCGGUCGGAGCAUCUUACGAUGUGACGGCGUGCCUUUUGCAUAAUGAUCCUACGAGUUACCGUCACUGGCGAGGUUGAGUGUCACGAGACACGUAGCCGCAGUGAAAGCGAGCCUGAAGAGGGCGCACAGUCAGUGGGGGUAGACGCGAAACCAAGUGAUCUACACUUGGCCAGGAUGAAGUCCCGGUAACACGGGAUGGAGGUCCGCACCAAUAAGCGUUGAAAAGCUUCUGGAUGAGCCGAGUGUAGGAGUGAAAGGCCAAUCAAACUUGGAGAUAGCUCGUACUCCCCGAAAGGCAUUUAGGUGCCGCGUCGGAUGGUCACCGUGAGAGGUAGAGCGACCGAUAGGACAAGAGGGCUUCACCGCCUAUCGAGUCCUGACGAACUCCGAAUGCUCACGGUCUGCAGUCCGGCAGUAAGGGGGCGGGUGCUAAGGUCCGUCCCCGAGAGGAGAAGAAUCCAGACCGCCGUCUAAGGUCCCGGAGUUCUGCCUGAGUUAGUCUAACGAAGUCUGGUCCCUAUGACAGCUAGGAUGUUGGCUUGGAAGCAGCCAUUCAUUCAAAGAGUGCGUAACAGCUCACUAGUCGAGGGUCCGGGCAUGGAUAAUAAUCGGGUAUAAGGCAGACACCGAAGGCGCGGGAUAGCAAUUAUGAAAGUAUCGGUAGGGGAGCAUACUCACAGCGUCGAAUGGUGUACGUAAGUUAUCCUGGAGCGGUGAGUAAAGCAAAUGUAGGAAUAAGUAACGAUAAGGAGGGUUAGAUUCCCUCCCGCUGUAAGACCAAGGUUUCCCGGGCAAUGCCAAUCAGCCCGGGGUCAGUCGGGUCCUAAGUCUAAGCCGAACGGCGAUGGCGAUGGCAGAGACGGUUAAUAUUCCGUCACUGCCGCAUGGGGCGACGUGGAGACGGAGCAGUGAAACCACCGCGGGGCGACGGAAGUCCCCGUUGAAGGGUGUAGGCGUUGAGGAUGGCAGGCAAAUCCACCAUCCGAGCUGAACUUGACAGUACGGAGUCCUCCUCGGAGGAAUCUGAUAGUGUGGGUAAUCAUACUCCCGAGAAAAUCCGCUAAGCUUAACCCAUGCGGCACCCGUACCGCAAACGGACACACGUGGUCGGGUAGAACAUACUAAGGCGUUGAGAGAUUCAUGGUUAAGGAACUAGGCAAAUUGACCCUGUAACUUCGGGAUAAAGGGUCCUCGUGAUGAGCGAGGCGCAGAGAAUAGGUCCAGGCAACUGUUUAACAAAAACACAGGGCUGUGCAAACUCGAAAGAUGACGUAUACAGCCUGACACCUGCCCGGUGCCGGAAGGUUAAGAGGAGAUGUCACUCGCAAGAGGAAGCAUUGAAUUGAAGCCCCGGUAAACGGCGGCCGUAACUAUAACGGUCCUAAGGUAGCGAAAUUCCUUGUCGGGUAAGUUCCGACCUGCACGAAUGGUGUAAUGAUCUGGACGCUGUCUCAACCGUGAGCUCAGUGAAAUUGUAGUAUCGGUGAAGAUGCCGAUUACCCGCGAUGGGACGAAAAGACCCCGUGAACCUUUACUACAGCUUAGCAUUGACCUUGGUCAUCCGAUGUGUAGGAUAGGCCGGAGGCUUUGAAGCGGGAGCGCCAGCUUUCGUGGAGCCAUCCUUGAAAUACGGCCCUUUGGCUGUCUGAGGUCUAACGCGUGAUACGCGGACACUGCUUGGUGGGUAGUUUGACUGGGGUGGUCGCCUCCAAAAGCGUAACGGAGGCUUCCAAAGGUGCCCUCGGGUCGAUUGGUAACCGACCUCAAAGAGUGCAAUGGCAUAAGGGCGCUUGACUGGGAGGCAGACAUGCCGAGCAGGCAGGAAACUGGGGCAUAGUGAUCCGGCGGAUGUGUAUGGAAACUCCGUCGCUCAAAGGAUAAAAGGUACUCCGGGGAUAACAGGCUGAUCCCCCCCAAGAGCUCAUAUCGACGGGGUGGUUUGGCACCUCGAUGUCGGCUCGUCACAUCCUGGGGCUGGAGAAGGUCCCAAGGGUUGGGCUGUUCGCCCAUUAAAGUGGCACGCGAGCUGGGUUCAGAACGUCGUGAGACAGUUCGGUCUCUAUCUAUCGUGGGCGUGGGAGUUUUGAGUGGUGCCGUCACUAGUACGAGAGGACCGUGAUGGACAGACCUCCGGUUUACCAGUUGUGCCGCCAGGCGCACCGCUGGGUAUCUGAGUCUGGAUUGGAUAAGCGCUGAAAGCAUCUAAGUGCGAAGCCAGCCGCAAGAUGAGAACUCCAUUGAGGGUCGUCAGAGACGAUGACGUUGAUAGGAUGCAGGUGUAAAGACAGCGAUGUCAAAGCCGAGCAUUACUAAUUGCCCGAACACUUUCUUUA